CCUACGGGCGGCUGCAGUGGGGAAUAUUGGGCAAUGGGCGCAAGCCUGACCCAGCAACGCCGCGUGAAGGAAGAAGGCUUUCGGGUUGUAAACUUCUUUUAAGAGGGAAGAGCAGAAGACGGUACCUCUUGAAUAAGCCAUGGCUAACUACGUGCCAGCAGCCGCGGUAAUACGUAGGUGGCAAGCGUUGUCCGGAUUUACUGGGUGUAAAGGGCGUGUAGCCGGGCUGACAAGUCAGAUGGGAAAUUCCGGGGCUCAACCCCGGACCUGCAUUUGAAACUGUUGGUCUUGAGUAUCGGAGAGGCAGGGGGAAUUCCUAGGGUAGCGGUGAAAUGCGUAGAUAUUAGGAGGAACACCAGUGGCGAAGGCGGCCUGCUGGACGACAAAUGACGGUGAGGCGCGAAAGCGUGGGGAGCAAACAGGAUUAGAUAACCUGGUAGGUC
rnacentral:rRNA from 1 species